CCUCAGAACACUUUGUGCCUCUUCAAUGAGUCCCUGACAUUGAACAUGUCUGCCUUCUGAAGUGUCCUUUCUUUUGUUUCUAUUUAUCGAGGAUAUGUCUCAGGACACCCCCAGGCUUCAUUUUUUGCCUUAAUCCUGUAUCACACCAUUUAAGUGGCCCUCUGAUCAGGCCAGGUGUAUGGGAAAAAUGAACCGUGUCCCUGAUCUGACAGAACACACCACUGAAGGUCUUCAAAAGGAUCAAGAAUGUUUAUGUAGAUACCUGAGAAGAGAGCAGGGUCUACACUAACACUGAAGGCACAGAUGAAGAUCUUUCCAUCCAGCAAAGUCACCAGGAUCCACACCAUCGGCGCCAGCAGAGCCCUCUGGAUCAUGGCCGAGAAAAGGUCUCAUCCACUCCUCCAUCAUGACGCCUGUAUGCCGGUUGACCAGGACCCCCAAGAAGAA